AUGUCUGUCUGUGUGUGUCAGUAUGUGUGUGUGUGUGUGUGUCAGUAUGUCUGACACACACACAGACAGACAUACUGACACACACACAGACAUACAUACUGACACAGACA
rnacentral:miRNA from 1 species